rnacentral:sRNA from 1 species
AUUCUGCCCAUACAGGGAAGGAUGAGAAGCUUCGAUCCAAGGUUCGACUCGAGCGCCAGCGAGAGAGCGUUGCCGCAGGCAACGACCCGCAGGGCGAAGCGCGUAGCGCUGAGUAAUCCUUCCCCCACCACCA